GCCCAGCCCGAGUCUCAGAGCCAGAGAGGAGUGAGCUGGACUCCCUUCAAAGCAAUCCUGUGCCAGGAUCUCCUACCAGAGGAUCGUCGGCCUCAGGGGUGAGCUCUGAGACCUUCCUUGAGAAGAUGGUGGCAGGAGAGGUGCCCUCAAUUGCCAUCAGCCUGAAGGUGGCUUAUCCAUGUCUAAAAAUAGUGGCUACGGGCUCUGCAGUGUGGCCUGCUGCGAUAAUAGCAGUUGUCGGGAUCGCUGGGGUCGCCGGGGUCAUCUUAUAUCAAAAAAAGAUGAAAACGCACAAUAAAAUGGAAUAGAAAAUCCAUUGACAAGAAUCAUCUCCAAGCCCUGGACAGACAGGAGAGCCAGAUGUGGGGACAGAUGUGCUGUGAGGACAUGUGUGACAAUUUGGGUAUGACCAAAGUAAAAAAAGUCCUGGAAU
ensembl:lncRNA